rnacentral:rRNA from 1 species
UACGAAGGGUGCAAGCGUUACUCGGAAUUACUGGGCGUAAAGCGUGCGUAGGUGGUGAGUUAAGUCUGUCGUGAAAGCCCCCGGGCUCAACCUGGGGAAUGGCGAUGGAUACUGGCUCGCUAGAGUGCGGUAGAGGAGAGUGGAAUUCCCGGUGUAGCAGUGAAAUGCGCAGAUAUCGGGAGGAACACCAAUGGCGAAGGCAGCUCGCUGGGACGGUACUGACGCUGGAGCGCGAAAGCGUGGGGAGCAAACAGG